rnacentral:rRNA from 1 species
GUCAGCUCGUGUCGUGAGAUGUUGGGUUAAGUCCCGCAACGAGCGCAACCCUUGUCCUUAGUUGCCAGCCUUAAGUUGGGCACUCUAAGGAGACUGCCGGUGACAAACCGGAGGAAGGUGGGGACGACGUCAAGUCAUCAUGGCCCUUACGAGUAGGGCUACACACGUGCUACAAUGGCGAGUACAGAGGGAAGCGAACCUGCGAGGGUAAGCGGAUCCCUUAAAGCUCGUCGUAGUCCGGAUUGGAGUCUGCAACUCGAC